rnacentral:rRNA from 1 species
AUGGGUAAAAGAUUUGAAUUUUUCCAAGCUUGGUUGGUCUGGCAAGACAAGGAGGGUGUGCGUAAAUAUCAUCUGGGAAACUGGUUUGAUGUGUGCCAACCUAGGGAUCAGGGUGGCUUGGGAGUUACUAAUUUGGAUAUAAAGAAUAUAAGUCUUUUGUGCAAAUGGCUUUGGAGGCUAGAGAAUGAGGAUGGAGAUUGGCAGGAGUUCCAUUUCUGGAAUGGCUUGAUGGAGGUUAAAGAUAUCUUUUAUAGAUGCUGGCAGAGAGUUGUGAGUGAUGGUCGCAAAACUAGAUUUUGGGAGGAUGCUUGGUUAAGAGACAAACCCCUAUGUUUGAUUUUCCCACGUAUUUACAACUUGACCUUUUGUAGGUAUGCCACCGUUGCGUAGGUGUUUAGCUAGGAUUUUGAUUGCAUUAGAUUAAGAAGAUGUUUGCAUGGGGAGACCCUCGAUAUGUGGAACAUAUUACUUGAUAUGUGUAGUCAGGUGACUCUGUUGGAGGAACCUGACAGAGUUAAAUGUCUUCUUACCUCUUCUGGGAGCUUUUCGGUUAAACCUCUGUACCAUUAUCUUGUUGCUCGACAAUUUGUAUUCCCUUAUAAGUUGCUGUGGAGAAUGAAGAUGCCAUUGAAAAUUAAAGCCUUCUCCUUGUUAGUGAUCAAGAAUAGGAUCCUAACCAAAGAUAAUUUAAGUAAAAAAGGCUUGAAAGGUGCUAAGCAUUGUGACUUUUGUGACAGUAUAGAGAGUGUGGAUCACUUAUUUUUCUCUUGUUCCCUAUCUAGGUUCUUAUGGAGUAUUCUGGGGGUGCUCCUUGGGUAA